GUUAUUUGCAUUUUUGUAACCAGGUGGUUUGCUCCACAUUUUGUGCCCAUUAUCUCCACUUCUCUAGAGGUUAUAUCCUGCUUUUUAGAGCCCAUGAUCUCCACACCAGGUCCUACAACCUUGGACCAGUUGAGAAGAGCUUCUGUUAUAAAUUGUACCUGCAACUUGUACCGUAUAUGUGACAUGCGACGAAGAGAGGAUAAUCGACGGUAGAAAACACCUUUAGCUUGUGUGAUCUACAAUUGUAAAGCGAUCUUCAGGUUACCAUUA
rnacentral:lncRNA from 1 species